ensembl:lncRNA
GGGUUGAAUGCACAGAAUGAUACAGAUAUCACAUCACUCCCUGUCACUUCAAACAUGUCUUCAACUGAGCUUGAAACAUCUCCUCAAACACCUCCUACAAGUGUGUAAUAUUCAUGGAAAGAUUGCAUAGCUGUAUUUUAAUCCUUUUAUGACAAUUAUGACAUUGCAGUUAGCAAAAUUAAAUUUACAUUUAUGCUGUUCACAGUUAAUGUCAUAUAUUCUUCAAUCAAUAAUUCUUACAAUACAUAAUUUCAUUACAUUCACAAAUUUGCCUUUAAACAUGUCAACGAAUAUAACUUCAAUUAUAUUUUAAUUUCUUCAUACAUCUAAAUGUCCCAGCAGCCUCAGCCACAACAAGCACUAUUUCAACUGAGUCUCAAACAGAUGCUCCAGCAGCUCCUGUCACUACAAGAUCUCCUUCAACUGAGUAUGAAACAUCAGCUCCUCCAAGUAAAUAUUUUUAUUCAUUUGAUUAAAUGUGUGAAUAGGAAAAUGAUAUCUGUAUGUUAUUCAUAUUUAUCAUUAAUGUAAUAUAUUGUAAAAAUAACUGUGCUUAUUUCAUGUCAAAUCUCAUGUAUUAAACAUUAGCAAUUCGGAAAUAGAAAAUAGUAAUAAGACAAAAUUGUAUUCAUAUAGCAAUUUCAUGUAUUUUAAUAACAAUUCUCGCAGUGUAAAAUUUGACUAUGUAAAAAAAAAAUCAUCGUCUUUUUUUUUUCCUUCCUACAUCUAAAUAUCACUGAAGCUCCUGCAACUACAAAAUCUCCUUUAACUGAGUCUGAAACAUCAGGUCCUACAAGUGAGUAUUUUUAUUCAUGGACAAUUGAGCAAAUGUGUUAAUAGGAAAAUGAAAAUUCUGUUUAUUAUUAAUGUGGUAUGUAGUACUGAUUUAAUUGGGAUUUAGAUUUGAUGCCAUCUCAGGUUUACUAUGAGCAGAAAACUGCACAGCUGCAUCCAGAAUGUAGAGCCUUGGACUACCUACAAACAUUAUAUGGAAAUUGUAUGAUUCCUACAGCUGUUUCCGGUGCAAGAAUCACUAAUCACUUGCUGCUCUGUUGUAAAACAGGACUAAAAGUGAUUGAGAAUCUCACAGUAACUGAAAUCUCCACAUCAUUUGUGCUUCUGAAAUGGGAUGAACCACUUGAAAUUGUGGCGUUGUCCUUUAAAGUUCAAUGGACUGCUGAUGAAACAUCUGGAAAUGCAACAGUCACAGACACAUCAGUGAUGUUACACCAGUAUAACAUUACUGGCCUGACUGCUGGAGUCAAUUACAUAUUUUGCAUCACUGCCACUGUAGCAGAUACAUCAACAGAAAGUGAAUCUGUCUGUAUCUCAGCAUGGACCAAGCCAGAUGUGAUCAGUAAUCUCAAAGUGACUGAAAUCACAACAUCUUCUGUGUUUCUGAUAUGGGAUGAACCAGUUGGAAAAAGAUCUUUCUUUAAAAUUCAAUGGACUGGUGAUAAAACAAGUGGAAAUUCAACAACUACUAACACUUCCUAUCACAUCACUAGUCUGACUGCUGGAGUCAAUUACACAUUUUUCAUCACAGCUGUUGCGGCAGAUAAAUCAACAGAAGGAGAAUCAGUGGUUACCUCAAAUUAUACUAGUAUGUUUUCCUGUUACUUUUAAGUGUCCUCUUUAUGGAGCCCCGCACAUGACAUGCAAGAAAAAUAUAAAUAAAUUGUGGACAUGAUUUAUUUAUUUGUUCCUU